ACAAUGAAGAUUAUUUUAAUAACUAGACUAAAAGGUUAAGUUACUAAUGGCCGUGAACGGGCUGAUUAAAAACAAUUAAAUCUGGUACAACUAAACCUACGCAUAAUCAAAUGACGUGUGACCGACAAAAACAAAAUUUAUAUUGUAUCAAUAACAAUUUUAAUUAAUAAAACGCAAGUUUAUUUUACAUUAAAAUUUGUUGUGUCACAAUAACAAUGGCCGCCCGUUGUAAAGCAACAAUGAAUUUACACAUGACGUCUCCUCGGAUAUGAUGUCAUUCGAAGCGAUUAAAAACAUCUUCGCCGAUUCUUAUUAUGGCACUAGUUUUUACGAUUACAGUAGAACGCCAUAUUGUUUUUUUUUUGUGGAGGUUACGAAAUUAUUUUUGGUUGCUGCAACUUACAAAAAAAAAAAAAAAAAUGUCAGUGAUUAAAUUCGCGCCAAAAUUUUUUAGACGACAUUCACGUUUCAUUAGUUUUGACCAAAAAUGUUUUUAAAUAAUUAUGAUCUUAAGUGGAUCUUGAAAUAUUUUGCAUUUUUCAUUACUGCUAACUUUAGAACAGCUUAGUUCAUUAUACAGCAAAACAGGUUUUGAUGACGUAUUUUUUAUGUUUUACUUUCAUACAUUCAAACCUUAAUUGCUUUUGAGUCACUAAUUUAAACGACUAGUGGUAAAUCGUCUUUUGAGCCCGCACGGGUAGGUACCAUCAUCCUGCCUAUUUCUACCGUGAUGUAGUCAUGCGUUUCGGUUUGAAGGAUAGGGCAGAUGUUACUAAAAAUUAUCCGUAAGAAAAUAAGUUUCUUUAAGUGUAUGUCUAAAUUAUAAUUACUAUUGCACAUAUGACAAUUGAAGUUGCAUUAUUACAUGAGUUCGAAUUACAAAUGUGAAAGAAAACAUUUCUAAAAGUCAUAUCGUAAUAUCAAUGAAAUCGCUCGCAAGCCGCGUUCGAAGUUCUCAAGGUCAUAAAUAUCAUUUAAAAAAGAAAUCGAAAGUUAGAUACGAUUUUUUUAUUUUUUCUAACCCAACAAGAAGGUUAGAUGCAUGCAGUUUAAUACAGAAAAUAAAAAAGUUAUUCUGGUUCUAGCACGUGCUCUUUUAUCUUUCUGCUUUACAUUACGUACGAACCAUAGAGACGAGGUUUAUCGGAUAUUCUCCGUUGCACAUACGUUUGAUGUGUUUGGCUAAUGGAAUGUAACUUGUGGCCCGCGCGUUGCAUUCACACUAAAUGUACGUAAUUCUCUGAAGCGGAUUUAUCGAAUUUAGAAUAAGAUUCGAAUUCAAAUAAUUUAUGUUCUGUGAUAGAUUUUGAAGGAAAAGAGGUUGAGCCGAUAAGAAAAAAAAACUGUAAACGAAUUCCCACAAAAGUGAUAUUUGCCAACAGAAGAUUUCUUUUUUUGGCUUCCCGUGUCGUAAUCCUAGAUCUUUGACGACAGUGUGCAAGGUUAUUCAUCAGAAGGCGUAUCUUGAAGAGGCUAGCUUAUUUGAGGCUUUAAAUUCGGACCUCAAAAAUUGCCUAAGAAUGUCGUGAGGCCGAUAAUGUGGGCGAACAAAGGCUCAGCCAGGAGGGGUGGGAUUUGCUAACAGUUGCCCGAGCGUCUCUAACAACUCAAGAGCAGCUGCUUCGCGAAUGAAUUUACUACCGGAUCGGAAUCGCGACCCGCUGAGAAGAUCCGGCGAGAAACUCAGCGGGCCGAUGCAUGGGUUAGGUUGCACGUCGAACUCUGUGUCGAGUUCGACGAGUACGGUGGCCGGGGGUCACCAGCGGCGGCAACGAAAAGACCUUAGAACUCAUAUCUCAGGAUGAGUGGAGGCAUUUAUGUUGUCUAUGGGCUCCGGUAACCACUUAACACUAGGUGGGCCGCGAGCUCGUCCACUCAACGAAGCAAUAAAAAAAGGCAUUUUCCAAACAUUCAAACAUGAUUAUUUGUUUUUAUUGCGACACGUUUUCUUUUUUAAUGGAUCCGCGGCCCGUAAAAUUUGUCGAUGGUAUUACAACCCUAUUUUAAAUAAACAGCUGGACCGGGAGAAUAAUUACUAAUUGUAGUCGAUUAAACCCAAUUAAAUCUAUCUGUUUUUGACUCGGUUACUCAUGACGGGAACGCGAACAUAAUAUUCGUUGUUUCCACAAUAUAUCGGAACAGUUUGGUAAUUUAAACCAUUAUAGUCAACGCCUAGUUCUGUUUACCGUGAGUUCGCAACGAUAGAUGCAACAAUUUUGCCUAUUUCUGCCGCGCGGGAUAGUAGGUGCAAAUAUUUUGCCUAUUUCUGCCGCGCGACAUGGAAAAGUACAAACCGAACACAAAAGCUUAAGGACGUGCAAUUAAAUUGAAAAUUAACUCGCGUUGUUGACGACCUAUGAUCUCGAAGAAUUGUCCUAAUACCUGACGAGGAUAUAACACAUUGUUGUAUUACAAAUCUUUUGACAGUCUCACGAUGUUCGACUGAAGUAUCCUCUCUAGACCAUCGGCUUAGGUAGGAAAAAAAAGAAGUCCAUGGACGACGGUAACCACUCACCAUCAGGUGGGCUAUAUAAAAGAACGUCACCGAAAAUGAUCUAGAAUGUUCUUGGCUUCAAAUCGUUUACCCGAACCUAGCAACGUUCUUCUGAGCCACGUGCUCUUCGAAAACGAUCAAUAAACACUUUCCGGUGCAUUAUAAAUAAAGUAGAUAUAAAUUUAGUCAUUUUACGACGUGCCCUUAAAUAUUAACGUUAUUUUACGAUACCCGAUAACUUUAAAAGGAUUGUUGGUUAAUUAUAAUAUUAUUACGUUCUAUAGACACGGUGUAGAUGGAAGAUUUUAAUAAUAUAAACAUGUUUGUAUUAUCUCAAAAGAACCUCUCUUACCGUGGUCAACGCUAAUUACAUAUACGACCCAGACGUCGGGGCAACACAAAGCCGCCGUCUGGAACAUGUCUUGUGCUUAGUGCGAGUUUUUAACGUUCUCUAUAGCGUAAAAGUUAACUCAAAUUUGUAUGGAGUUGGACUGUUUGCGUACGUUUGCCGCUAGGGGCGCUGUUCCAACUGCAUAAAAAUUUAAGUUAACUUUUACUCAAUCGAGAAUGUUAAAAAACUCGCAUUAAGCACACUUGUCGGAUCCCCCGGAUUCACUCUCGGUGCCUUUAGGUCUCUCAAGCACCGGUCACCGUCCUCGUCGACGAGCGAACUAACCCACAGACACAGCCCACUGAGCUUCUCGCCGGAUCUUCUCAGUGGGUCGCAUUUCCGAUCCGGUGGUAGAUUCCGCGAACACUGCUCUUGCUAGGGCUAGUGUUAGCAAAUUCUCUCAGGUCUCCCAUGAGCUCACCUACCCUCUUAAGGCUAUUCCAAUUACGC